rnacentral:rRNA from 1 species
ACGCUCGACACCUACGGGAGACAGCAGUGAGGGAUAUUGGUCAAUGGGGGAAACCCUGAACCAGCAACGCCGCGUGAGGGAUGACGGUCUUCGGAUUGUAAACCUCUGUCCUCUGUGAAGAUAAUGACGGUAGCAGAGGAGGAAGCUCCGGCUAACUACGUGCCAGCAGCCGNGGUAGUAUGNGNGGCGGNGCGAGAG